UACGUAGGGUGCAAGCGUUGUCCGGAAUUAUUGGGCGUAAAGGGCUCGUAGGCGGUCCAUCACGUCGGGAGUGAAAAGCUGGGGCUUAACCCCAGUCCUGCUUCCGAUACGGGUGGACUAGAGGUAGGUAGGGGAGAACGGAAUUCCUGGUGUAGCGGUGAAAUGCGCAGAUAUCAGGAGGAACACCGGUGGCGAAGGCGGUUCUCUGGGCAUUAACUGACGCUGAGGAGCGAAAGCGUGGGGAGCGAACAGG
rnacentral:rRNA from 1 species